UUGCCAUUAGGGAGCUAACAGCUCUGCACUGGACAGAAAGGGAGGCUGUGGCAACAUCAUCCCUCCGGUGUCCCUCAUCAUAGACCUGGAUUACCUUACUGAAUACAUCCGUGCUCUUGCCAUAGUUACGUGCUUCAGGUCUCAUGCUAGUUGAACAAAA